GGAGACUGUGGCUCAGUAUUAGAGCACCAGCUUUGCAUGCUGGAGGGUCCUGGAUUCAACCCCUGCCAUCUCCA